GCAAAUGAAGCGAUUUAUUGCAAUUAGUUUCGACCUAAUUUUAGGUAAAUUACCUUAUUCUUUAGUU
rnacentral:tRNA from 1 species